UCUCUGGUAGUAUAUCGGUUAGUACACGCGCCUGUCAUGUCCGAAUCUUGUGUCCAAUUUCGCGCGAAAGCUGGGUUCGACUUCCAGCCAGAGAG